rnacentral:snoRNA from 1 species
AUUAAAAAUUAUGAUGAACAAGAUACUGCCCCAGUCUGAGAACUGUGAUUGAUUCAGUUAACUGAUAAA